UACGUAGGGCGCAAGCGUUGUCCGGAAUUAUUGGGCGUAAAGAGCUCGUAGGCGGUCUGUUACGUCCGCUGUGAAAACCCAGGGCUUAACCCUGGGCUUGCAGUGGAUACGGGCAGACUAGAGGCAGGUAGGGGAGAAUGGAAUUCUCGGUGUAGCAGUGAAAUGCGUAGAUAUCGAGAGGAACACCAGUGGCGAAGGCGAGUCUCUGGACGACUCCUGACACUGAGGCACGAAAGCUGGGGGAGCAAACAGG
rnacentral:rRNA from 1 species